rnacentral:lncRNA from 1 species
CGACACAGUCACCCGACGCAGCAAUUCAACCGAUAAUACCUACGCAACCGCCUUUUCAGAUGAUGCCAGGUGCGUUUCCUAGCCCUUAUAUGUAUCCUAACCCUUAUAUGUACCCUUUUCCGAGUCCUAUGGCAGGUUGGAGCCAAAUGCUCGGUUCAGCUCCAUUUCCUGUUAUGCCCAGUGGACCGGCAAUGUAUAGGCCAGCAGCGCAUGAGGGAUCGCAAG